ACCUGGUUGAUCCUGCCAGUACUAUAUGCUUGUCUCAAAGCCUAAGCCAUGCAAAUGUAAGAUCAAUCAUAUGCGGUUUCGGCCGUGUAUAAUGAUAGUCUGUGGAAGGCUCAUUAUAACAGUUAUACUCCUAGCCACUGGAAAGUUUACAAGGAUACCACCGUUAACUGCAGCGAUAAUACUUGUUCCCUUCGGGGUGGUAAUAGUAUUUGUGCUGAAGCCUAGCUAUUGUAACCUAGUUUUUCGGGUGUGGCAACAUAUUCGGGGGAUUAGGAAUCGACCGCUAGCAGGUGCCUUCGGGCGCGGGAAAGUGAAUUAACAAGGUUUUCAUAAGGCCUUUCAGGUUUGCUUUUUCUAGUGGCCAGGCAGAGGAGUUUCUUACCUAUCAGCUCGUUGUUUGUUUAAAGGACAAACCAGGCUUUGACGGGUACGGGGAAUCAGCGUUCGAUUCCGGAGAGGGAGCCUGAGAAAUCGCUACCACAUCUAAGGACGGCAGCAGGCGCGCAAAUUACCCAAUCUCAAUACGAGGAGGUAGUGACAAGCUAUAGUGACUCCACACCAUUUGGUGGGGAGGUAUUGUCUUCUGACGAUUUUCCAUGAUUUGGGUGUAGAUAACCCUUAGAGUAGCCAUUGGAGGAAAAGUCUGGUGAACUGUCGCCAGAAAUAGUGACCCAGCAAUGGGGAGCUAGUCGCAUUGACCAAAAUUGAUUAUUUUGGUAGCGGCAAAACGAUCAAAUUGCGGGAAGCGCUUCUUUUAAGCCUAACAGUACCGCUCGGCAACGAGCUAUGACAGGAGAAAAGCCUGUAGGAUGGUAACAAGCUGUUAGGUAUGGCGUAAUCCGCAGCCAAUCUGUUCGUUAACAAAUCCCUGUUAUUGAAGGACGUUCUAGUGUGCGAUGGGGUUCAUACCUUUAUUUGCCAAAACGGGACCUCUGUUGAGGUAUAUAUUGAAUAUUCCGUACUAAGGAUUUAAUCCGGAACGUCUAGAGACUACACGGCAAACCAAUUUGGUGGUGUGAAUGGAUAGUCCCUAGUGAACCAUCUAGGCAUCCCAUACAAAAUGGUUACAAUUAGAAAAAUUGUGAAGAGGCUUAGAAAUAAGCUUCGUGCUCGUAGUACGACUAAACGUCCUAAAACAAUAACAGUAAAAAUUGAUCGCGAAUCAUUUAAAAAUGGUUAUGACCCUCUAGUCAAUAGUAUUGAUUAUGGUUAUAGCAAAAUGGCUCGGAUCACUCUACAAAAGAGUGAUAGGUUAUCAAAACUAGAUAAUCGAAAACAAGCCAAAAACAUUUUUAAUGAAUGGUUGUCAAACCGCAAGGGAGAUAAAGGGAGAUCUGGAAAACAGAAACCUUUUUGUUUUGAUGAAUUGAAAAAGCUUGAUAUUUGUCACCACGAAUUUGGCGAAUGCUUAAUUGGUGCAGCAAAUAAAACAAAAGCAGGCUUCAAGGUUCGUUUUUUAAACAAACAGGGCUCCGAUUCGUACGUGCAUCACGUAUCCGCUUUUGCUAAUUCGACUACUGAGAAUUGUAUUCACAGUAUAGAAAUGCUAGAAACUGUUUCUAGUAGCAAAAAGGAUGGUGAAGCAAGAACGAUUUCUCAUCUGUGUGGUAAUGGAGGUUGUGCAAGGCCAGGUCAUUUGAGGAUUGAGAAGAAAACAGUAAAUGAUGAACGUACUCACUGUCAUUUUUUACUGCGGAGGUCUCAGUCUCCUAACCAAUCAGAAAUGAUUCGGUUAGCCUGUCCACACACUCCUAAAUGUUUUGUAAACAUAUACAAAAUAAAUACACCAUACUACUGAUCAAUUGCAUUUGUUUUGAAUAGGAGGGUUCAGAGACUAGAUGGUCGUUGGCUAGGUUAUGCCUAGCUUAAGAUAUAGUCCAAACCCACUCGAUGAUAAAGAGUGUGUCAAUUGCAAGGUGCUAAUCCCACCCCAGAAUUGAUGUUCGGUAGUCUUGGCCAGCACCCGCGGUAAUUCCAGCUCCAAGAGCGUAUAUUAAUACUGCUGUAGUUAAAACGCCCGUAGUAUACCUAAGAGUGAAUGUGUAGUAAUUAGUUUUGCCAGAGGACGGUUGACGAGAGUUUAUCAUUCUUGUUUGCCUACUUUUGGUAAACUUUAGUCGGGCUGGAUCUCUGAUCCUCGUCUGACAGUUGCUGCGUGUUUACUUACCACGGUUCAUCCGUGAGGCCCUUGGCUUGCAACUGUAAAUAAAUCGUUGUGCUUAAAGCGGGCUAUGAUACUCUGCCAGAGCGAUUUAGCAUGGGACUGCAGAGUAGCUGUAUUUGAGUGAAGGUUGCACCUCGGUGUGGCUGGAGCUUGGUACAGCGCUUGUAAUGGAGCUCAGGGUGAGGCCCCGGGUACCAUGAGGCUAGAGGUGAAAUUCUGAGACCCUCAUGUGACCAACUAAGGCGAAAGCUGUCGUGGGCCACCACAAGCUCGUCUAUCAGGGACGAAAGUUGGGGGAUCGAAGACGAUCAGAUACCGUCGUAGUCCCAACUAUAAACGAUACCAACCGAGUAUUUGGGAAGACACUAUCCCAGCGAUCUUCUCAGAACUCAAGGGAAACCUUAAGUCUUUGGGUUCUGGGGGGAGUAUAGUCGCAAGACCGAAACUUAAAGGAAUUGACGGAAAGGCACCACCAGGAGUGGAGUCUGCGGCUUAAUUCGACUCAACACGGGGAAACUCACCAGGUCAGGACACAAGUUUGAUUGACAGGUUAAUAGCCCUUUCUUGAUUGUGUGGUGGGUAGUGCAUGGCCGUUUCCAGUUCGUGGAGUGAUCUGUCUUGUUAAUUCAGAUAACGAACGAGACCUAAGCCUUUAACUAGCCGUAGGCCUUUUCCUUCGGGGAAGGGUUAGUUUGUCGGAACAGGCCUCGGUCUGUUCCAAAACCUACGAGACUUUUGUCAGCUUCUUAAAGGGACUUCAUUCGUAAACUAGGAUGAGGAAGAUUUAGGCCAUAACAGGUCUGUGAUGCUCUUAGAUGUCCUGGGCUGCACGCGUACUACAAUAACGGUACCAGCGAGCGCUAUGGUUUUAUAACCCCUUAUCCUAAUAGGAUUGGGAAAACUUUUCAAACACCGUUAUGACAGGGAUCGAGGAUUGGAACAUCCUCGUGAACGAGGAAUUCCUAGUAAGCGUGGUUCAUCAUACCACAUUGAUUACGUCCCUGCCUUUUGUACACACCGCCCGUCGCUCCUACCGAUGGGACGAAGAGAUGAACCUGGCGGACCGAACCGCAAGGUAAGGGAAACCAGUUAAAUCUCUUCGUCUGUAGGAAGGAAAAGUCGUAACAAGGUCUCCGUAGGUGAACCAGCGGAAG
rnacentral:rRNA from 1 species